rnacentral:sRNA from 1 species
UUCGUUAAAAUCUAAGUGUUGAGUUCGCUCUUCACAAGACUAGAUUUCAUCCCUCAAAGAUUUUUUCAAG